UUACAGACAACAAGACUGCUCAGUGCAGUAACCAGACCUGGAAAAAAACACUGCUCAAGGCAAACUUUUGGGACAGAGUGCUGCAUACAUGGGUUUACGCACAAACUGAGAUUUUGCAAGUCAACUGUCAAAGUCAUAAAGGGAGAUGGUGGACAAUGUUGAACAUUGAGUUGAAGUCCUGGAAUCUCGGUCAACUGCAGAUAGCAGCAUGACGUAAAGCAGACGUCUUGUUUCCCAGUCCAAUUUUAGUCAGAUAUUCUUGGUGGUAUGUGACAAAAAAACAA